rnacentral:rRNA from 1 species
ACGGUCACAUUACAUUGAAACACCGGUUCCCGUACAAUCAGUGAAGUUAAGCAACGUCGAGACUUGUCUGUACCUAGAUGGGUGACCGCUUGGGAAUACUAAUUACU